UGAGCCGAAGUUGGACGCUUAACUGACUGAGCCACCCAGGCACCCCUAUAAGAGAAGCUUCUCUAUUCACAUCUCCCAUUUGUAGUAACACAAUCCCAUUGAUAGGAGUGGCUUCCCUAUUGCCUUUUUCAAAAUCAGGAGCCAUGGCAGAAGAAAUUAAAACAUGAUGGUCUGCAUCUAGUUGUGAAUCCAAAAGCAUUAAGAACUCGUACCAUUGAUGAAAUCUCUGGCAGAACCCAUGAAGAAUGAGGACAAUUGUUUCCCGUUCACAUAGUGGAUCAUACAGAGAGUGUUCUGGAAUUGUUGAGUGUUCUGCAGUGAUUUUUCAAGCCUCCUUUGGAAGUAGCUGGACGGUACAGAAGAAGAUGGUGUGGUGUGUUGAGGUGUAUGUAUCAAGGGAUCACAUCAUCACUCUCUCUGGGAUUUCUGUGCUCAAGUCAUUCAAAGGAAACAGACAUGUUCCUGUGGAUGAGGAAUGGCUAUGUCUGUCACCCAUGUAGGAUUUAGGCAAGUGUGAUCUUAGCAAGGAGACCUCGAUCCUUCCAAGCUGGUAUGCAUGACCAAAAGUGGAGUUGUUCUAAGGUACUCACAAAAGCUAUUAAAGUGGCAUGUAAACCAGUAAUGACUACACAUGGGUUCCAUCCAUGACUACCUGUGCCAACGUGCCAAAAAGACACAGGAUGAUUGCUCUGUGCCACCAAUAAAGCUUUUAAAACCACUAAGAGAAAGGUGGAUUCUUGGAACAAACAACAAAAACAACAAUAAAAACAUUUUCAUUGAGAAAACAGUA